rnacentral:tRNA from 1 species
GUUUUAAUAAUUUAAUAUUUUAAAAUAUUGAUUUUGUAAAUCAAAAAUAAGUUAAUCUUUUAAAACU